rnacentral:rRNA from 1 species
UACGUAGGCAGCGAGCGUUGUUCGGAAUUACUGGACGUAAAGAGUGUGUAGGCGGUGCUCUAAGUUCGGUGUGAAAUCUCCUGGCUCAACUGGGAGCUUGCAGGCGAAACUGCCGUGCUGGAGUGUGGGAGAGGUGCGUGGAAUUCCUGGUGUAGCGGUGAAAUGCGUAGAUAUCAGGAGGAACACCUGUGGCGAAAGCGGCGCACUGGACCACAACUGACGCUGAGGCGCGAAAGCUAGGGGAGCAAACAGG